rnacentral:misc_RNA from 1 species
AAAAUAACCUAGUUUCCUUUUGACUAGGAAAACAUUUUCUUUUAGUCAAUUUUUCCUAAGUGGCCGAAAUACUGGAAUUGUGGAAAUAUUUUCCACAAAAAUGAAAAGAAUUUUGGAGGUAAACCACUGUUUCUCAAGUUAAAUAGCCCAUUCAGGAUACUGAUUGUGCAACAUAUAGAUGUGAAUAAAAGGCGUAAUAUGAUAUUUUUGACAAGAAUAUUAAAUGGGAGUGAUCUAAUGGGUGCUUAUUUCUGAUGCAUGUGCUAG